AUUGAACGCUGGCGGCAGGCCUAACACAUGCAAGUCGAUCGGAAGAAUGUAGUUUGCUCGCCUAUCCAGGGGGGGAGGGGUGGUUACUGGUUAGGAACUUGCCUUGCAGUGGGGGAUAACGGCCGGAAACGGGCGCUAAUACCGCAUACCGUCAGACGGACUCAUGUUGAGAUCUUCGGACCUUGCUCCUUCAGGUGAGCCUAGGUCGCUUUAGCUAGUUGGCUGGGUUAAGGCCUACCCAGGCGACGAUCCGUAACCCGUCUGAGGGGCUGAUCAGUCACACUGGAACUGAGACACGGUCCAGACUCCUACGGGAGGCAGCAGUGGGGAAUAUUGGACGAUGGGCGAGAGCCUGAUCCAGCCAUGCCGCGUGUGUGAAGAAGGUCUUCGGGUUGUAAAGCCCUUUUAUUUGGAAGGAAAAGCAGUAGGUUAAUACCUCGCUGUUAUGACGGUACCAACAGAAUAAGCACCGGCUAACUUCGUG
rnacentral:rRNA from 1 species